rnacentral:lncRNA from 1 species
ACUGAAAUAUAUUUUAACAGAUUAAAGUAAAAUUAAUCAAAGGCUAAAUUAUUUGCAUAAGAGUUAUUAAAGAGAACUAACUCACCACAAUAGAAAAUGAACCUUUGAGAAACCUUUUCGUCGGUGAGUGAGACAUGUUUGAGAACCUCUCAAAUCGAUGGGAUCUGACAAGAGCUGAUGUUUGAGAAUCGCUAUUUCAAAAGUGGUUCUCAGAAUCAUUGGUGACAUUUGAGGGGAAAGGGGAAAGAGGAACGAGGGUUACAAGCGAAUACGAGUGAGGGAUUUCAUGGAUGGGUUUGGUGAUUCUCAGAACGAUGAACGGAGAGAAAGAGGAUUCUGAUUGAUGGGUUUAGGGAUUCAGAUUUACAAACGAGUGAGGGUUUGGUGAGUGAAGAAAAAAAAAUUAGGGUUUUUAUAAAAAAAUAGAGAGAAAAAGAGGAAAUAUAGAAUUAAUAUUUUUCAAGUAAAAGUAAUAGCAUCGGAUGGGCCGACUCUACCAAUUUUUUGAACACCCAGCAUCAGUCAUUUUGUUCUAUAGAGUCGGUGAACCCGACGCUAAUGUUUUAAAAUAAUAAACAAUGAAUUUU